rnacentral:lncRNA from 1 species
UGUGGCUAUGGCGCAUAGGAAAAGGAGGAUCAAAAACAAAGAGAACGAUAUUGGUACAAUAAUUUCGAAAUUUGAAAGGAAAAGAUGGGGUUGAGCGAAACUGAUGAAAUCAUAGUCGGGAUGAAAGAGAGCAAGGUGGAAAGAAGGAUACACGACGAGAAAGAAAGAGAUAGGCAAGAGGAAGAGGAUUGAAAGGGCAUGGAAAUGGCUAGAAUUAGCUUUGAAUAUGCUUAUUGCUGAUUCUACGACCUCUGUCCAUAGGCUAAACAUUUUCGUAGAAGUAGACAACAUUGGAGGUGGAUGAUCAUUCGCUAAAGAUUGAUGAAGAAGAAGAUGCUCGAUUUCCAAGAGAAAUUUUUCACCAUUCAAGUCGUUGCAACGCAGAUACAUAACAACAUUCCCCACAAGAAAUUGACUCAUCAUGAGAUAGCUACUUACCGAACACAUAACAGUCUGUAAUAUUACCCCUGAACUUCUCCACUGAUGACCCUUGGCAGCAUCCAUUAUGACUAAAUACAUGGAACCUAAAACCACCAUUAUUCCCAUCAAAAGACCGUAUAACAGCAUCGACGACAAAGCUACCGAUCUCUUCCCUUUUAACAAAUAGGCACUUCUCCUUAGUGUUUCGAAACCCCAUUUGGAUUCGACUAUCGCUAUUACAUAAGCUAAUGACCAGUUAACCUGCAACCAUAUCAAAACCGGCACGAGCACAACCAACGCGGGAAUAACCAAAAACAAGAAAUGAUUCGAGUCGUAUUUAAGUUCAAUUAAUCCAAGAGUUUGAAGAAUCUGGACUAAAAAAACCAAGACAAGGGAGAAAGCGAGAGCGAUUGAAAUGAAAAUGGUAUGCGAAAUGAUAAAGGAGGAGAGAAGGGGGAAGAAGGAAUUUCUGAUAGAUUUAAUAGAGGAAACGAGGUUGAUAGGUCUACCAUAGGAUACAUGAAGCGUGCUGUAUGUAAUUGUGGCUACAGCACAGAGUAAAAGGAGGACCAGAAACAGAGUAUAUACUAUGGGUACAAUAAUUUCGAAUUUUGAAAGGAAAAGAUGGGACUGAGGAAAUUGAGUGAAAGUGGUGAAAUGAUAAUCAGGAUGAAAGAGAGCGAG